rnacentral:tRNA from 1 species
CUCCUGUAGUUCAGUCGGUAGAACGGCGGACUGUUAAUCCGCAUAUCGCAAGUUUGAGUCUUGCAAGGAGAG